CUUUGGGGUCGGGGAGGGGGCCAGCACUGCUCUCAUCUCUGAGGUGGCCAAGCAGGCCAGAGGGCACGCACAGUUUAUCACAGGACAGGACAGGAUGCAGCCCAAAGUGAUGCAGUCUCUCCGGUUUGCCCUGCAGCCAGCUGUGGUGGACAUCUCAGUCAAGUGGAAUGUCCCAAAGGAGGUGUCUGUCACCCUUCUGUCUCCACCAAUCAGAGUGCUCUUCCAGGGUCAAAGGGCUCUUCUGUAUGCCCAGCUCACUGGGGAGGGGACACAGAGGGCUCGAUAACAGUGAAGUACAGCCUGGCCAAGCAGCCUGUUGAGAACCAGCUGAUCUUCAGUCUUAAGCCUGCAGAGGACACUGGG